rnacentral:rRNA from 1 species
UACCAGCUCUCCGAGUGGUAGGGAUGAUUAUUGGGCUUAAAGCGUCCGUAGCCGGCUUAGCAAGUCUCCUGUUAAAUUCAGCGACCUAACCGUUGAGCCGCGGGAGAUACUACUAGGCUAGGAGGCGGGAGAGGCCGACGGUACUUCUGGGGUAGGGGUGAAAUCCUAUAAUCCCGGGAGGACCACCAGUGGCGAAGGCUGUCGACUAGAACGCGCUCGACGGUGAGGGACGAAAGCUGGGGGAGCGAACCGGAUUAGAUACCCGGGUAGUCCCAGCUGUAAACGAUGCGGGCUAGGUGUUGGGGUGGCUACGUGCCACUUCAGUGCCGCAGGGAAGCCAUUAAGCCCGCCGCCUGGGGAGUACGGCCGCAAGGCUGAAACUUAAAGGAAUUGGCGGGGGAGCACCACAAGGCGUGAAGCUGCGGUUC